AUUGAACGCUGGCGGCAUGCUUUACACAUGCAAGUCGAGCGGCAGCGCGGGGGCAACCCUGGCGGCGAGCGGCGAACGGGUGAGGAAUACAUCGGAACGUGCCCGAGAGUGGGGGAUAACGCCGCGAAAGCGGCGCUAAUACCGCAUAUUCUCUGAGGAGGAAAGUGGGGGACCGCAAGGCCUCACGCUCACGGAGCGGCCGAUGUCGGAUUAGCGAGUUGGUGGGGUAAAGGCUUACCAAGGCGACGAUCCGUAGCUGGUCUGAGAGGAUGAUCAGCCACACUGGGACUUGGACACGGCCCAGACUCCGACGGGAGGCAGCAGUGGGGAAUUUUGGACAAUGGGGGCAACCCGGAUCCAGCCAUGCCGCGUGCGGGAAGAAGGCCUUCGGGUUGUAAACCGCUUUUAGCCGGGAAGAAAAGAUACGGGUUAAUACUCCGUGUUCUUGACGGUACCGGCGGAAUAAGCACCGGCUAACUACGUGCCAGCAGCCGCAGUAAUAC
rnacentral:rRNA from 1 species